GACGAACCGUGCGAACGUUGUUCGGAAUCACUGGGCUUAAGGGGCGCGUAGGCGGACUGCCAAGUCCGGGGUGAAAUCCUCCGGCUUAACCGGAGAAUUGCCUGGGAUACUGGCGGUCUUGAGGGAGGUAGGGGCACGCGGAACUUCCGGUGGAGCGGUGAAAUGCGUUGAUAUCGGAAGGAACGCCGGUGGCGAAAGCGGCGUGCUGGCCCUCUUCUGACGCUGAGGCGCGAAAGCCAGG
rnacentral:rRNA from 1 species